GCAACUCCACCAAUACCCAAUCAGCCCUUUUUUCCUUCCUCUCUUCUUCAUUUCAUUUCGUUUUUAUUUUUUCUUUUCUCAUUCCAAUAUUUUCUCUCUUUGCCUGGGCCCCCUUCUAUUUCUAUCUCUCGUUUCAUACAUCAAAAACAAUACGCCGGAGCUCCGCCCAGGUUGUCAGACGAGGAAUCCAACCAAUCGAUAUGCCCUUCAUUAAAUCUCCUGCGCCUUCCCCACUCGUCCCUUCAAAAACCGAUUGCGAGAAAUAAACACAGGCACUAAAGUAUUUCCAUUUCCGUAUAAAUUCUCCUCUCUUUUUUAUUAUUCGAUUCGCUAUAUUGCGACACGAGGAAAUGUUAUUGAUUUAGAUUAGGGCGG